GUUCAGGCGGCUCCAACACCACAGUUUGCACCGUAUGCACCUCCCACGCAAUAUACGGCCGGCAUGGAGCUGGAUUUGUGAAGCUUUGUAUCUUCUACUGUUAAGCACCUGGGAACAAUAGUGUCAUUCUAUUCAUGACUUGUAAUGUUAUAAAAUCAAGAAUUUGUAUUCUUGACAAUUUAUUUUUUUCAAUUUUGAACAAUGAAUCAUAUCUAAACAUAAUUGGUUAUUUUUUUUUUAUUGUAAAUACAAUGUAGAAAAUAUGAUUUAUCAAAUUAUUUGUGUAUAUUCUGAUAAUGGAAAUGGAAAUUAAUAAAGUGCUAGUCAAGGAAAAUCAUAUUAAACACAUAUGUAAAUUGUU
rnacentral:misc_RNA from 1 species